ensembl:lncRNA
UGGGGGGGUUCCCUUUUAAGGUUUUAUUAAAUAUGUCUUCUAAAUCAUGCAUCUGUUAUUGUCAAAGCGUUGUUGGCAUGCAAAGACAUACGGUGUUGGAUGUUUUGGGUGGCUUCAAAGUUAGCGGUGAAGGGUUGGUGGUCGGAGGUUUCUGACGCAGGUGUCCUGAUUUCAGACAGGAACCGAGCUAUGAACUGAUUCACGUGAAUAUAACAAGACAAUGCAGUAUCAUACCGGUGCUUGCCCCGUUUACACAUCUGGCAUGACAUCAGGCUUUUUUGUUUAGUAUAUUUUUGUGCAUGUAAGCAGGAUGUCUACCUGCUGGCAGUAUUUUUUGUUGUCUUUUUGAUUGUGUCCUGGAGCACAAGCAGUCAACAUUUGCAACAUGUGGUUACCAUCUUGACUGUGUGUUUUACCGUAGGAAAUGAUGAGUCGGUUUCAGUAAGUGCAAAGUGCAGAUUUGAACUAAUUAUUUAUUAUAAUGAUUUAUUGCUACUCUGGCGAAGCUGCUUAAAUUAAAGCUAAGCUAGUUUAGAAUUUCAAAGUCGGUGUUGAUGAAAGUACUCGGGUCAGGAUGGACGGAAAUAAGUCAAACUAAUUUGACCAUAGAAUAAUUCGCGAAUUUUAGAACAUGAAGCAUAGUGAAGCAUGGUUAAGGAAAAGUUGGUUCUUAAAGGUUUAAAAUCUCCUAUCAAACAUGUCAGUAUUUCAUAAUUCAUAAUUUCAUAACUAUUUCUAAAGUAAAUUAAUUAAAAUAACGUUUAUUCCCUUUACUAUUGUCUCGUGCAAAUGGCUCCUUGUGUGCUACACUAGCCUCAUCUAUGUGACGUGGAGGUUAUAAAUAUCAAGAGAUGGAAUUAAGUCUAAAACAAAAACCAACUAAGGAAAGGGCUCCAAGUAUGUAACCGCGAUUCGAGAGUGAUGUUUUUCAGCAUCAAUUAGGACAGCAAGAACCACAACACAUAUAUGUCCAAUGGUCUUAAAUGGUCUUUACCUUGUCCCCAGAGCACAAAUUGUCCCCAGCGCAAAAAGUGCAUUGAGUGUAUUCAACCGGUUGAAGCUCGAAUUAGGUUCACUCUGGAUCAGUAAUGGUGUUAAGAUCAUUUAUUUUGUGUGUUAUUAUUCCAGGUCGUUGAAUUCUUUUUUUUAUACAUGUUGUUAUAUGGGAGUACAGCGGGGGAUCGACCACAUAGAGCCUAAAUUAACAGACCGGGCGAUCCUUUUGAAAUAAGCUUCCUCAUGAUUUUAAUUACAAGAAUAUUAGGAGAGAAAGAAGCAAUGAGAAGUCAUUAUCACUGUCGAGGCAUGACAAUAUUCAGUCUUUUAAUUAUGUGUAUUAUUUUAUAAUUAUUACUUUCAUAUUAUUAUUAUUAUUAUUAUUAUAUUAUAAUUAUUACUAUCAUUAUUAUUAUGAUUCCUGUGUCAACAUUGAUGAACACAACUAAAUACCAUGAUGCUCUGGGAAGAAGCCCUUCUAUCUACUCUACUUCUAUGGGCUGACGCGCCCAAACUAUUUCAGGAUUUUUUCCCAGAUGUAUGCUAUCAUUCACACUGUUUGAUCAACGAUGAUGAAGGAAGGCACUUUAUAUAAAUUAUAUAUAUAUAUAUAUAUAUAUAUAUAUAUAUAUAUAUAUAUAUAUAUAUAUAUAUAUAUAUAUAUAUAUAUAUAUAUAUAUAUAUAUAUAUAUAUAUGCAUACUAGAUGUCGUCUUAUAUUUUAAUAUUCCAAAUAUGAGUGUAUAAAUAUAUAUUUCUAUCUAUGUUUGGAAUAUUAGAAAGAGGUUUUCAAAAAGGGGAAAUUGCUCCUGUCCUCAAAAUGCUUAUCAAGCUGUUCUAUUGUCGAGAACUUUUUAUUCUGGUGAUUUCUAAAGAGAAAAGAACAAAAAUAUAAAAAAAACAUAGCAUUACGUAUAUGUUCUUAUUUCUUGUACAGUAUUUAUUUCAUUUUCUUUUUUUUUUAAGUUUGCUGAAGCUUUGAAAUGACUAUACACAGAAGUUGGCGCACCACUUGGACUGGGGUCAGUGGUCACCAAAAGGGAAGCUGCCUUGAAAGCCAUGUUCCUCACCGCCAUCAUAUCAAGUGUCUGGUGAUUCUGUUGUAUACUUACAGUGUGUGUUCUGUGAAUAUGUUGUUAUGCAGUUAUGUUGAAGAGAUAUAUACAUUUAUAAACAUAUAUAUAUAUAUAUAUAUAAAUAUAUAAAUACAUAAAGACUUUGCAUUCA